rnacentral:rRNA from 1 species
AGGANACGCUGGCGGCGUGCCUAACACAUGCAAGUCGAACGGAACUUCUUUUAAAAGGAUUUUCUUCGGGAAUGAAUUUGAUUAAGUUUAGUGGCGGACGGGUGAGUAACGCGUGAGUAACCUGCCUCUGAGAGGGGAAUAACAUUCUGAAAAGAAUGCUAAUACCGCAUAACAUAUAUUUAUCGCAUGGUAGAUAUAUCAAAGAUUUAUCGCUUUGAGAUGGCCUCGCGUCCGAUUAGCUAGUUGGUGAGGUAACGGCCCACCAAGGCAACGAUCGGUAGCCGGACUGAGAGGUUGAACGGCCACAUUGGGACUGAGACACGGCCCAGACUCCUACGGGAGGCAGCAGUGGGGAAUAUUGCACAAUGGGGGAAACCCUGAUGCAGCGACGCCGCGUGGAGGAAGAAGGUCUUCGGAUUGUAAACUCCUGUUGUUGAGGAAGAUAAUGACGGUACUCAACAAGGAAGUGACGGCUAACUACGUG